rnacentral:rRNA from 1 species
AGAGUUUGAUCCUGGCUCAGAGCGAACGCUGGCGGCAGGCUUAACACAUGCAAGUCGAACGGACCCUUCGGGGUUAGUGGCGGACGGGUGAGUAACACGUGGGAACGUGCCCUUAGGUUCGGAACAACACAGGGAAACUUGUGCUAAUACCGGAUGUGCCCUUUUGGGGAAAGAUUUAUCGCCUUUGGAGCGGCCCGCGUCUGAUUAGCUUGUUGGUGAGGUAAAGGCUCACCAAGGCUACGAUCAGUAGCUGGUCUGAGAGGAUGGCCAGCCACACUGGGACUGAGACACGGCCCAGACUCCUACGGGAGGCAGCAGUGGGGAAUCUUGCGCAAUGGGCGAAAGCCUGACGCAGCCAUGCCGCGUGGAUGAUGAAGGUCUUAGGAUUGUAAAAUCCUUUCAGCGGGGACGAUAAUGACGGUACCCGCAGAAGAAGCCCCGGCUAACUUCGUGCCAGCAGCCGCGGUAAUACGAAGGGGGCUAGCGUUGCUCGGAUUUACUGGGCGUAAAGGGCGCGUAGGCGGACAGUUAAGUUGGGGGUGAAAGCCCGGGGCUCAACCUCGGAAUUGCCUUCAAUACUGGCUGUCUUGAGUGUGAGAGAGGUGUGUGGAACUCCGAGUGUAGAGGUGAAAUUCGUAGAUAUUCGGAAGAACACCAGUGGCGAAGGCGACACACUGGCUCACUACUGNNGCUGAGGCGCGAAAGCGUGGGGAGCAAACAGGAUUAGAUACCCUAGUAGUCC